rnacentral:lncRNA from 1 species
UGUAAGAACGGUGCUAAGCCUUGCGGACAUCACACUGUGUUUAGACCCCUGUGGUCCCGCGGUACAUGAACAUGAUGGGCGGGGCUUAGUUGGCUCCGCCCUCCCAUGCACUAUUGAUCCUCUUAUUUGUCCAUUUCAUUUUUUCUUUCCUCAAAGGUGGCUCACAGUUCUCGGUUUGUACGCUACGCUGUUUACACAGCACUGUGUUUUUUACCCUACCAGUUCACAGCAGCUCAAGGCUACUACAGCAGGGGGGAUUCGAACCAGGGACUCUCCAGCUCUAACCAUUGCACCACCUGCUGCUCCACAGCGGUUAAGGACACAGAGGCAGGGGCGACCCCUCAGGUGCCUUUGCUGACAUCACUCCCGGAUCAUCUGUGAGAGGGAGGGAUCAGCUUCCAGCGACAGCUUUACAUCAUAGUGUGACAUACCGAUGUGAAGAGUUCAGGUGGACACACACACACCUCAGCUACUGCAUUACAAGCUGAAGGUCAGGUGGAAGGCAGGGUACGCUACCUGUUCUCCUCCUUCUCUGCACCUCUUUGUUGCUCUCCUUGAUCCCGACCCCAAUGCCUCCCAUUGGUUAUUUUUGUUCCCGAACGCCUGGCGAAACAGCAGCCGGCCCCUCGCCCUACAAGGCCCAAACCUUGCAGGAAGCCACAGGGCUCCUGUUGCUAGGAGACCACCAGUGUUUUCCCCUUCAGCUCUGAGUCUUUUUCUUGCUUCCUUGUUCUUAUUCCCGCGUUUCUUCGGUGUGUAUAGGUCGCCUACCCACAGAGGACCCGUUUUCUCUCCUUCCUUCAGCGGAGGGGCCUUUCCGAGCCACAGAGGUACGAGGACAGCAGCCGAAAUGAGAGGUGAGAAUGAAAGAGCGAACAGAGGGGCAGUACAGGCGGGCCACAGCGACAUAGCGAGGACAGUAAAUGGCGUGUGUGUGUGUGCCAGACACGGCCUGUUCCACUGCAUGCGGAGGACACCGACGCAGGAGGAGGGAGAAGAAGAGGAAGGUGACACGAUGACACCCCCACUCAGGAGCUGUGCGCCAGCGGUCAGGCAGGUUGGCAAGUGCCGCUCUGGAUGUUGAGCGCCUCGCCGUCCUCCAGCAGCCUGGUGUCCCGCGGCCCCCCGGCCUGCUGUCCAUCCAGCUUCUCAACUGUGCUGUUCUUCAGGGGAGGGAGUCCAUCAUGAGCCCUUCCGCUCAGAACUUCACCACAGAUCUCGCACCUACAGGUAAGGCACAGUACCGCGGUACACGGGUCUUUCGGUGGGCUGCCUUCACUUCUGCUCCCAAAGUCCCACUUGGGUGCAUUUCCAAGGCUGGCAGCACAGCACUUGUUUAUAUGUUUAAUAUAUUUAGUAGAGGAGACUAAACACAGCUUCAUUCAUUCAUUCAUUCAUUCAUUCAUUCAUGACUGGCUUCAGGACAGCAGUGUGAAAUAAACUGUGAGAUUCAGAGGGAAAGUGUACA